ACGAACGCUGGCGGCGUGCUUAACACAUGCCAGUCGAACGGAAAGGCCCUGCUUGCAGGGUACUCGAGUGGCGAACGGGUGAGUAACACGUGGGUGAUCUGCCCUGCACUUCGGGAUAAGCCUGGGAAACUGGGUCUAAUACCGGAUAGGAGCCAUUUUUAGUGUGAUGGUUGGAAAGUUUUUUCGGUGUAGGAUGAGCUCGCGGCCUAUCAGCUUGUUGGUGGGGUAAUGGCCUACCAAGGCGGCGACGGGUAGCCGGCCUGAGAGGGUGGACGGCCACAUUGGGACUGAGAGACGGCCCAGACUCCUACGGGAGGCAGAAGUGGGGAAUAUUGCACAAUGGGCGCAAGCCUGAUGCAGCGACGCCGCGUGGGGGAUGACGGCCUUCGGGUUGGAAACUCCUUUCGCUAGGGACGAAGCUUUUUGUGACGGUACCUAGAUAAGAAGCACCGGCUAACUACGUG
rnacentral:rRNA from 1 species